AUGGCUUUGGUUACAAAAUAUGGAAAGCCAGACAUAUUCCUCACAAUGACCUGCAACCCCAAUUGGGACGAGAUCACACGUGAACUACAAUCCGGGCAAACACCACAAGAUCACCCAUAUAUUGUAAAUCGUUCAUCAUGCAAGAACAAUUAUCCAAGGCCAUUUAACGAAACUACGGUUCAAGGCAAGGACUCCUACCCAAUAUAUAGGAGACGCAAUGACGGUUGGACUGAAACGGUCCGAAAUUGCAAACUGGAUAAUAGGUGGGUGGUUCCUUACAACCCCUAUCUAUUAAGGAUGUUCAACUGCCACAUAAAUGUUGAGAUAUGCUAA
rnacentral:rRNA from 1 species